GACGAACGCUGGCGGCGUGCUUAACACAUGCAAGUCGAGCGGUAAGGCCCUUUCGGGGGUACACGAGCGGCGAACGGGUGAGUAACACGUGGGUGACCUGCCCUCAGCUCUGGGAUAAGCCUGGGAAACUGGGUCUAAUACUGGAUAUGACUCCACGGUGCAUGUCGUGGGGUGGAAAGCCUUGUGCGGCUGAGGAUGGGCCCGCGGCCUAUCAGCUUGUUGGUGGGGUGANGGCCUACCAAGGCGACGACGGGUAGCCGGCCUGAGAGGGCGACCGGCCACACUGGGACUGAGACACGGCCCAGACUCCUACGGGAGGCAGCAGUGGGGAAUCUUGCGCAAUGGGCGAAAGCCUGACGCAGCGACGCCGCGUGAGGGAUGACGGCC
rnacentral:rRNA from 1 species